rnacentral:rRNA from 1 species
AGGGCAUACGGUGGAUGCCUAGGCGCCAAGAGCCGAAGAAGGACGCGGUAAGCUGCGAAAAGCCACGGGGAACUGCAAGCAAGUAUUGAUCCGUGGAUAUCCGAAUGGGGAAACCCGGCCAUCGUCAUGGAUGGUCACCCGCAAGGGAGGGAACCUGGGGAACUGAAACAUCUAAGUACCCGGAGGAAGAGAAAUCAAACGAGAUGCCCACAGUAGCGGCGAGCGAAGAGGGCAGAGCCCAAACCGAGAAGCUCCGGCUUUUCGGGGUUGAGGACCGGCAGAAUCGAAGUCAGGCCUAGUUGAAUUACCUGGAAAGGUAAGCGAGAGAGGGUAAAAGCCCCGUAGACGAAAGGCAGAGCAGAGAGGCCGAGAUCCAGAGUACCACGAAGCACGAGGAAUUUUGUGGGAAGCAGGGGGGACCACCCUCCAAGGCUAAAAACUACUUGGCGACCGAUAGCGCAUAGUACCGUGAGGGAAAGGUGAAAAGAACCCCGGGAGGGGAGUGAAAUAGUACCUGAAACCGUAUGUCUACAAGCAGUCGAAGCGAAAGCGACGGCGUGCCUAUUGAAGAAUGAACCAACGAGUUAUCUGCACUAGCGAGGUUAAGUGGAAGACACGGAGCCGCAGCGAAAGCGAGUCUUAAGAGGGCGCUAGUUAGUGUAGGUAGACCCGAAACCGCAGUGAUCUACCCAUGUCCAGGUUGAAGCGCAGGUAAAAUUGCGUGGAGGACCGAACCGGUGAGCGUUGAAAAGCUUUCGGAUGAGAUGUGGGUAGGGGUGAAAUUCCAAUCGAACGCGGAGAUAGCUGGUUCUCCCCGAAAUAGCUUUAGGGCUAGCCUGAGGUAGUAAGUAUAGGCGGUAGAGCACUGAUCGGGCUAGGGGCCGUAAAGGUUACCGAACCCUGUCAAACUCCGAAUGGAUAUACUGUAGAGCCUUGGAGUCAGACUACGAGUGAUAAGAUCCGUGGUCAAAAGGGAAACAGCCCAGACCACCAGCUAAGGUCCCCAAUGUCGUACUAAGUGGAAAAGGAUGUGGGGUUUCAUAAACAACCAGGAUGUUGGCUCAGAAGCAGCCACCAUUUAAAGAGUGCGUAAUAGCUCACUGGUCGAGAGACCCUGCGCCGAAGAUUCCCGGGGCUAAAGUACGAAACCGAAGCUGUGGCUGUAUACGUAAAGUAUACGGGGUAGGGGAGCGUUCCCAUAGGGUAGAAGUCGAACUGGAAGGUUCGGUGGACUUGUGGGAAGUGAGAAUGUUGGUAUGAGUAGCGAAAAGAAAGGUGAGAAUCCUUUCCACCGAAAGCAUAAGGAUUCCUGAGCAACGAUCGUCGUCUCAGGGUAAGUCGGGACCUAAUCCGAGGCAGAGAGCGUAGGAGAUGGACAACUGGUUGAUAUUCCAGUACCGGUAGUAAUUGUUUGAGCAAUGGAGUGACACAGAAGGGCAGGCAAGCAUGCGAAUGGAAGAGCAUGUGUAAGCGUGUAGGGUGGUGCAUAGGCAAAUCCGUGCACUGAAAGCCUGAGGCGUGAUGCGGAGUGAGCAGAGAUGCGAGCGAAGUUGUUGACCCCACACUGUCGAGAAAAGCUUCUAGUGAGAGAGCUACCGCCCGUACCGUAAACCGACACAGGUAUGCGGGGAGAGAAUCCUAAGGUGCGCGGGAGAACCCUCGUUAAGGAACUCGGCAAAAUGUACCCGUAACUUCGGGAUAAGGGUAGCCACUGUUGUGAAGUCCCAUGCGGAUGGAGCAUAGAGUGGUCGCAGAGAAGAGGCCCAAGCGACUGUUUACCAUAAACACAGGUGCCUGCUAAAGCGAAAGCUGACGUAUAGGUGCUGACACCUGCCCAGUGCCGGAAGGUUAAGGAAGGAUGUUCGGAUUAGUCCAAAGCAUUCGACUGAAGCCCCGGUGAACGGCGGCCGUAACUAUAACGGUCCUAAGGUAGCGAAAUUCCUUGUCGGGUAAGUUCCGACCCGCACGAAAGGUGUAACGAUUUGGGCACUGUCUCAACGAGGGACCCGGUGAAAUUGAAAUACCUGUGAAGAUGCAGGUUACCCGCGACUGGACAGAAAGACCCCAUGGAGCUUUACUGUAACCUGACAUUGGGUUUUGAUACAUUACGUACAGGAUAGGUGGGAGGCUUGGAAAGUUGGACGCUAGUCUGACUGGAGCCGACGUUGGGAUACCACCCUUGAUGUAUUGAAAUUCUAACCGCGAGAGUAACGAAAUCCGGGACAGUGUCAGGCGGGCAGUUUGACUGGGGCGGUCGCCUCCGAAAGAGUAACG